CAUUGUACCUGAAUUUCACUUUAUUUGCAAAAUUGCCACCGCCCCUUGACUGCUGUUCAGAUUGGAAUUUCUAUUUAUUUACGAAAUUGCCACCGCACAGUGGAAGAGCGCCCACGUUUCAAUCAUCGUGCAGUACUUUUCCGUCCGUUCCAUCCCCUCUUUCAUUCCCUCUUUUUCUCUCCCGUCUCUCUCCGUAAACGUCCAUCAAAUCCCCCCAUCCUUCCCUUCUCUCACUCUGUAAUUUCUCUCAAAUCCCUCACCGAUUCUCUCUCGCCAUUCUCAGUCUCGCCAGUCGCGAACUCCUUGACCGCUCGCCAUUCUCACUCUGUAUGUUCGGCCGAGAGAACUCAUUCAACCGCAGAAACGAGGUGUGAAGUGGGAAAUGGCGAGCGCAGUGGACCCAAUUUCAUGGCAGCUACCAAAACUUUGCCUACACUGUCCAUCUCUGUUCUCCGCUGUCCGUCACUGUAAGAGUGCUCUGCCAGAAGGCCAAGGAAAUAUUAAUGGAAGAAAGCAAUGUCCAGCCUGUAAAAAGCCCGGUAACUCUCUGUGGUGAUAUUCAUGGACAAUUCCAUGAUCUGGCGAAGCUUUUCCGCAUUGGAGAAAAGGCAUUAUUCUGAUUUGGGCUAUUUAAUUUAUCGUAUGUGUUCUUCAAGUGCCCUGAUACAAACUAUUUGUUUAAGGGAGAUUAUGUGGACCAUGGCUAUUAUUCAGUUGAAACCAUGACCAAGUAUCGAGUAUUUUUAUUUCUACUUCUUUCAAUUAGUUAAGCUAUAAUUUUAGGGUUCUCCUUCUGGCACUAAGAUAAAGGUAUUUUGGAAACUCUAUGCAAUGGUUUGGUUUGAUUAUUUAGGGUUUUGAUCAAUGGCAAGCCCAAAGGGCCUAACCAUCUGCCUCUGGAGGUAUGUCAGUUUCUUUUGAUUAUCAUAUCAUUCUUUCUUAGACUCUUAGUCUUAUCUUUUUGGAACUCCUCUGUCUGAUAUCCAGAUUUGUGCUUCCCCAUGGGGUUUCUCUUGGUGUUUUAGCUUUGUUCAUUAGUUUCGCUUCAAAGGUAUACAAAAGCAUUAUCUUCAAAGCAGAGGGCAUCCUUAGUUGAAAAAUCAAGGCAGAAGCCUCAGGAAAGAAUAAGAACUGUGACUGAUAUAGUUUUGCAGGUCAUCAAAGGAUUAUUAAGGUUUGGAAAAGUUGCAGCCUGAGAUGGACCAACUAUCUGAGGCCAAACUUGAAGAGAGGUAUUUUAUCAUAAUAUGAGGAGAAGAUAUGCGGGAUGAAGAGCUGAGCGACAGCAACGGUGAGGUUUUAUUUUCUGAUUUGGAUUUUGAAAUUGAGUAAUUUUCUACUUUGUGUCUUUUGAGUAGGUGUGGGAUUUAGUUUCAUGCCAGGGGUUGUAGUGGGUGGAUUGGAUGUAAAAUUUUCUUUUCGAAUUUCAAUCCCCCCUAAAUCUCUUCAUUCCAACCAAACAUUUGAGGAUUUGGUUUUAAUUGUUUGUUUGGAUUUUUGAGCUUUUGACCAAUUAUUUGGAUGCUCGGAAAAUUUACAUGCUAUUUGGAUACUAGGAAUAUUCAUGGAACUCAAACAAGAUUGUUUUCAUAAUUUUUUGAGAAAUGUGGAAUUUCGUUUCAGAUGGUAUUGACUAUUUUUCAAAAUCCUAUAAUCUGAUCGAAGUUCUUAAUUAAAGUUUUAAGAUAUCCUCAUUCAUUUAUGGUGUUUUUUUAACAGGUUUUAAAAGAUCCUGAUCAUUCCGGUUAAUUAAAGUUUUAAGAUAUCCUCAUUCAUUUAACACAUGAAAAUUAAGCAUUUUCAUAAUUAAAGUUUUAAAUUAUCAUCAUUCUGUUCAAAUGCACCAUUUCCUUUUUGUUUCCCUUCUCUCAUCUUGCAAGCACUCAUGGUGUCCAUUUCCUUUUAAUUUUGGUUAAUGCAGGUUUUGAAAUUUGUGAUGAUCAUUUUCAUAUUUCUAUAAAUUUUGAGAGAAUAAAGCAUGUGAAAAAGCACAUUAUUCUAUAGGUAUAAAUCACAUUAGUCUAAUUAUGGCUAGGAUAAAAAACCAUGUGAUAAAUUGUGGCUUGGUUAUACUGCAAUUUCAAUUUGGGAUUUGAAUUUAUUUACAAAAUUACUAUUCUUUUUAAAAUUUAGAAAAGAGCAUGUUAAAAGACCAAUUUUCUUUGCAUGAACUUGA